rnacentral:rRNA from 1 species
UACGAAGGUGGCUAGCGUUGUUCGGAAUUACUGGGCGUAAAGCGCGCGUAGGCGGCUAUUCAAGUCAGAGGUGAAAUGCCAGGGCUUAACCCUGGAACUGCCUUUGAAACUGUAUAGCUGGAGUGUCGGAGGGGAUGGCGGAAUUCCUAAUGUAGAGGUGAAAUUCGUAGAUAUUAGGAGGAACACCGGUGGCGAAGGCGGCCAUCUGGACGACAACUGACGCUGAGGCGCGAAAGCGUGGGGAUCAAACAGG